AGUGAACGCUGGCGGUAGGCCUAACACAUGCAAGUCGAACGGCAGCACAGUAAGAGCUUGCUCUUACGGGUGGCGAGUGGCGGACGGGUGAGGCAUAAAUCGGAAUCUACUUUUUCGUGGGGGAUAACGUAGGGAAACUUACGCUAAUACCGCAUACGACCUACGGGUGAAAGCAGGGGAUCUUCGGACCUUGCGCGAUUGAAUGAGCCGAUGUCGGAUUAGCUAGUUGGCGGGGUAAAGGCCCACCAAGGCGACGAUCCGUAGCUGGUCUGAGAGGAUGAUCAGCCACACUGGAACUGAGACACGGUCCAGACUCCUACGGGAGGCAGCAGUGGGGAAUAUUGGACAAUGGGCGCAAGCCUGAUCCAGCCAUACCGCGUGGGUGAAGAAGGCCUUCGGGUUGUAAAGCCCUUUUGUUGGGAAAGAAAAGCAGCAGGUUAAUACCCCGCUGUUCUGACGGUACCCAAAGAAUAAGCACCGGCUAACUUCGUG
rnacentral:rRNA from 1 species